GCAAUUGAGCGGGCCUAGCUCGUCCUACUAGUAUGAGGAUCGGCACAGUAUGUUGCGUAAUCCUACCACUAACUGUGGAGAGGUAGAGGCAACACAUGUUCCGGUUGUUCUCAAAUUCGGAGAGCAUUAUUAGGGUCAGGUCUAGGCAACCAAAAGGGCCACGAGCCUUUAUCAUGAGCAACAUCCGAAACCAACAGCGGGAGCGAGGAUGCCUUGAUAGCACCAGGCACGAAACAUGCCAGCACCAAGAGGCAACGCCGCAAGCGCCAUAUGGCCGCAGCAGCACACCCAAAGGCGUCCACCGCGAGGCAACUGUGUAUGAAGCACCAAUACCCGUAGGUCGGGUAACAUCACGCAAGCACUUGAAAGGCAACAGUAAGAUAGCUCACACGAAUGAAAAGACACGGCGCCGGUAGUCAGCCGCACGAAGACGGGGGACCUACCGGCAGACACGGGUCCAAAAC
rnacentral:misc_RNA from 1 species